UAGGAUGCCUCUCUUAAAAAACAAAACAAAAAACUUGAUAUACUAAAUAUAAGGAACCACAGGUCAAACUUCUUGCCAUUGAGAUGCUGGCCAGCUUAGAUAUAUCUGAACUGCAGAUAGUACUCCCCCAACCCUCUUCAGCUGCCUGUGAUGUUAAUCAGCAAAGUAUUCCAGUCAGUUGACUGCUGGGGGUAUAAAAGCAGACUGGUGUAAAUCAUAUAGUACUUUGUGCUGAUGGACGAUCUGUGUCGUGGACUCUGUUAUCCAAAAUUGCAACUGACAGCUUGACCAAUUGCCCUAUCUUAUUUCCACCAUACAGAAGUGAAUUAAUUCUCUUAUGAAUUGUCAGCUAUGUAAAGGUAGAUAUGCUUUCCCCCACUCUUUUUAAAUAGAAAAUAAAUCAUUCUCAUCCUCAAAGUACUAAGAGUCACAGAAAGAUUGCUCGGCAUCAGGCUUCUUCAUCAGUGUUCUCGUGGCAACAAGAAAAGACACACAGCUGUCCUUCAUCCAGCAGUCAAGAAACCCUUUAAAGAGAGGUUUUUACUUCAUCCCAUUUUCCAUGGGGAUAAGAGGCAAUUCCUAGUCACAGUGGCUUAAGAUCAAAGAAGACAGAUUUCAACAACAAGUUCCCUGAAAAUGGUGGUAAUUCUUCCGUCAUCGAGCAGUUAAAAACACAGAACCAAGCGUGAAAUGUUGGAGCAAAAAAUGGACGACCUACUGAGUCAUCAGAGACAAUUUGUCGAAAAUAAUCGUCGGUCCGUAGAACAGAAAAUAAAAGAAAAGGAAAAGCCAGGAGGAUUACCAUCGGCACAUGGAACGUGAGGACCAUGUACGAGUCAGGAAAGACG